UACGAAGGAUGCAAGCGUUAUCCGGAUUUAUUGGGUUUAAAGGGUGCGUAGGCGGACUUAUAAGUCAGUGGUGAAAUCUCGAUGCUUAACAUCGAACGUGCCAUUGAUACUGUAGGUCUUGAGUACAGAUGCCGUUGGCGGAAUGUGUCAUGUAGCGGUGAAAUGCAUAGAUAUGACACAGAACACCGAUUGCGAAGGCAGCUGACGAAACUGUAACUGACGCUGAGGCACGAAAGCGUGGGGAUCAAACAAG
rnacentral:rRNA from 1 species